UACGAAGGGGGCUAGCGUUGUUCGGAUUUACUGGGCGUAAAGCGCACGUAGGCGGACUAAUAAGUCAGAGGUGAAAUCCCAGGGCUCAACCCUGGAAUUGCCUUUGAUACUGUUAGUCUUGAGUAUGGAAGAGGUGAGUAGAAUUCCGAGUGUAGAGGUGAAAUUCGUAGAUAUUCGGAGGAACACCAGUGGCGAAGGCGGCUCACUGGUCCAUUACUGACGCUGAGGUGCGAAAGCGUGGGGAGCAAACAGG
rnacentral:rRNA from 1 species